rnacentral:lncRNA from 1 species
GUCCUUCCUUUAGAACUACUUCAACUUGAUCGACAAGAAAGGGGGGAUGGCUAUUCUGCUGAUGAUUUGCGAGGGGCUGAGUGGCUUUGUUUCGACGAUUUGGGAUCUACAAGAGAUGCGUUAUGCUGCCAUUUUUGAUGAUGUUACCUUUCUUGCACUCACAGUUGUCAUGGCUGCAUUAUCCUGCAUCAUUGCUACCAGGAGAUCAUGAAUGUUGCAAAUUCUAUUGUACUUGGUUUGUUCUAAGGUUGGCUCCUUUUGUGUAUAUGAUAUAUAUAGUACCUUCCUAUGCUGUUUACAUUAAUAUUCAAGGAUCAAUAGAAUUAUAAAAAUGGCAUAUUGACAUGGAUCAUUCUCAGAACAAAAAUUGUGCCUUCAAAAUCUUAGACCAUUUAUUUUCUUCUUAUUAUUAUUGACAUAAUGACAUUAUAUAUUGUAGUGCAUCAAGUAUCAAUCUGAACUUGAACAAUUGACUGUGGUUCAUCUUUUGUAACCUUAAAGCUUAGAGUAGCUGAGGAACUGGCGAAAUUGUCUUCAGCUGUAACCUCAUAAUCUCCAUGAAACAAAGAAACAUCUAUAUAUCCUUGAUCAUCAGUUGCUAGUUCCAGAGACCCAGUUUUCCACUCCGCAAUCAGCUUGUCCACAACAUCUCCUGAUGGAGUGUUGUUGAAAUUCUUAUCUACAAGAGUGGUUUCAUUAAAACCAGCUGUGAUUGGACCUACGAACAUGAUGAUACCUUGGACCGCAGGAUGCGAAUAAGCCUCCCUUAGUACCUCUUCCAAAUACUGGGCCUGCACACAAACACAAAGUGUUACCAGCAAUGUCUGCAGAAGCGGAUUCAGCGCUAACAUAAAGUUUUGUGGUAGCCAUUGGACUAGUUGUGAAAUGGUCUAAUCGAUAAUUAACCUUAUAGCCCUCAUUUUCAUGUCCAGAAUAGGUUUAUUUUUCUACGUCUAAUUAUUGUCUAACAUGGUAUCAGAGUCCUAGUUGCACGGUUCCUGCAACCGAGCCGAAGCUUAACCUAUAUACAUGCUAGAUUCUCUAUCUCUAGUAGUUUAACUUCUCAAGUAGUGAUUAUCAGGUUGCUUUACAUAUUGUAGUAUUGCUUGCAACAAUUUAUUGGAAAUACCUGAUUUGGUCCUAUUCCCACACUCACUUCUGUAAGCCAUAUUGGAUAUCCAGUUGCACCUAAAAAGUCUAAAACAGAUCUCAUGUAAGCAAGAUUUGGCUGACCAGAACCAAAGUGACCUUGCAAACCUAUUCCUGCUGUCAGAUUAGGAUUUCCGGGAUAUGACAAGAUUUCUUCAAGUUUCUUCUUGUAGUUGGCUGGACUUGAUGCCUCGUCGCUACUAUAUUCCAUGGUAUUAUACUCAUUCAUGAACAUCAUUGUGCCAGGAUCAAGCUGCUGAGCUGUGUAGUAGAAGGCUGCAGAAGCGUUUUCGCCGAGUUUAUCCUCAAAGAAUCUGAAGUGAAGAUUCUCAUUCAUUACAUCCCAAGCAAUUAGUUGUCCUUUGUAUCUAGCAACCACUGAAUUGAUUCU